rnacentral:rRNA from 1 species
UACGUAGGGUGCAAGCGUUAAUCGGAAUUACUGGGCGUAAAGCGUGCGCAGGCGGUUUUGUAAGUCUGACGUGAAAUCCCCGGGCUCAACCUGGGAAUUGCGUUGGAGACUGCAAGGCUAGAAUCUGGCAGAGGGGGGUGAGAAUUCCACGUGUAGCAGUGAAAUGCGUAGAGAUGUGGAGGAACACCGAUGGCGAAGGCAGCCCCCUGGGUCAAGAUUGACGCUCAUGCACGAAGCGUGGGGAGCAAACAAGGGAUUAGAAGUACCCCAAG